rnacentral:rRNA from 1 species
GAUGAACGCUGGCGGCGUGCUUAACACAUGCAAGUCGAACGAUGAAGCUCAGCUUGCUGGGUGGAUUAGUGGCGAACGGGUGAGUAACACGUGAGUAACCUGCCCUUAACUCUGGGAUAAGCCUGGGAAACUGGGUCUAAUACCGGAUAGGAGCGUCCACCGCAUGGUGGGUGUUGGAAAGAUUUAUCGGUUUUGGAUGGACUCGCGGCCUAUCAGCUUGUUGGUGAGGUAAUGGCUCACCAAGGCGACGACGGGUAGCCGGCCUGAGAGGGUGACCGGCCACACUGGGACGGAGACACGGCCCAGACUCCUACGGGAGGCAGCAGUGGGGAAUAUUGCACAAUGGGCGCAAGCCUGAUGCAGCGACGCCGCGUGAGGGAUGACGGCCUUCGGGUUGUAAACCUCUUUCAGUAGGGAAGAAGCGAAAGUGACGGUACCUGCAGAAGAAGCACCGGCUAACUACGU